GCGCGCCUCCUCUCCCCUCCCCUCCCACGCGCCUCCCCUCCUCCCACCCACAUCGCCGCUGCCGCCACCCACCGCCUCGAACCGCGCCGUCGGCAGCCAGAUCCACCGCAAUAGAGCCCCCCUUCCAACGACGACGAGCAGCAGCGGAGGGAGGAUGCGAAGCACGACGGUGGCGGCGGCGGGGAGCAGCAGCGGCAGGCCAAGGUGGCACAAUAGCAGGCCUUGGGCGACGGCGACGAGCGACGAGCACGGCGGCGGCGAGUGCUCCGCCGUCUCCAUCGCCACGGCCCGCCCUCCUGUCCGCAUCUCCCGCGGCUGCUCCUCUGGCAGGAGGAGCAACCCGACGGCUGCCUCCACAGCAGCAGCAGCAGUAGUGGAAUCACAUCCCGCACGCACCGGAAGGUGACCGGAAGGUGGCGAGCGGCAGCCUCACCAUCGACACACUCGCCGCUGACGCCGGCGGCAACGAAGGGAUCCUGGCCGUCCCCGUCUCCUUCACAUCAAAUCCGUCAAGGUCAAGUGGAUUGCAUCACGGCUGGUGUGCGGAUGGGCACGGAGCCACGAGCGCACACCUCUACGGCGACGCUGCCAUCUCAGUGCUCCUCGCCUCCCACUCCGACGACGACAACUUCGACGCGCUCAUACACCUCCUCGCCCUCAUCGUGCAGGCGGUCAAGAACGCGGUGGUGCAGUCGCUUGAGCUGAAGACGCUCGUCCUGUCUACCUCUACCUCUGCCUGUUCCACUACGCCGAGAGAUUCCAGUUUCUAAUUAGCGGUCAAGGAGUGGAUAACUGCACAACUUUGGAAAUGCAUGAGGUAGUGGCUGUUAAAAACAUACUCCCUCCAUUCCUAAAUAUUUGUCUUUUGGGGAUUUCAAAUGGACUACCACAUACAGAUGUAUAUAGACACAUUUUAGAGCGUAGAUUCACUCAUUUUGCUCCGUAUGUAGUCACUUGUUGAAACCUCUAGAAAGACAAAUAUUUAGGAACGGAGGGAGUAGAUGACUGUAACAAAUGUGUGAGAACAAGGAGCCAAAAAUAUUGGAAAACAACCAUAAGAUAGAUAGUGGAUUCAGUGAUUUGGUUAUUAUGGAGGUUGAUGGAACUUGGUCUACUAUUGGAAUUCAGAGCCAUAAAGCAUUGGACUUGGACAAGCAACAAACAAUCAAAGACGCGUAUGUGACUGCUCCAUGGUUCAGAGCUCUUCCAUGGCAGCAACCAGCGAUCCCAAGGCCAAGGACAGUUGUUGUAAGGAAUGUGUUUCCAUGCACCUGCAUCGACCUUUAGGACUGAUGUUAUGCUCUUCUGUUUUGUACUCAGUCAAGUAAUGUUUUUAUGGUUCAUGAAGGUGAGAUAUUUGAAGCUCUACGCUUGUGUGCACUAAAAUGGAGAGCAUCUCCUUUUUUUAAUGGUGUGAUCUUGAUUCUUGGAUCAAAAUGAUUCACAAGAUGACGAGCGUGGCAAUCUCGGCGGGCUCGCUAAAGUCGGGGGAAGGAGAGAAACAAUGGGGAAGGGAGCAUAACAUGGAUCUGGGGCAGGAGAGGCCGUGGUCGGAGCGGCAUUGCAUGGGCAUAUUGGGUAUUAUUUGAGCUGAUACUCCAUUUUCUUACAAGAGAUGUGGUCCCGUCGAUGUUGGCUGUCGAAUUUGUGCUGCAGUCCAUGCCCACCACGUCCGAGUCUUCACCCCUUCGUCAUCCAACACGAACAGCAGAACAGAGUAGCAGUCGUGAUUUGCCAGGUUGGAGAACUGACGCAGCUUGCUGCCACGGAGUGCUCGCCCUUCUUCUGUGCCAUAAAGCCCCUCGGCCGAAACUUGCAAAUCAAAAUUGCCGACCCUGUCAAUCUCGCUGGAACGACGUCUAGCUCGUUGUGCUCCACUCACUCUAACGGCAUAUCUCAUAACUAAAGCCAUGAACAAGUGCUUCAGUUAUGCUGGUGGCAAUACAUUGCUUGAGGUGACCUCAUGUGCAAGAUUAUCCCCAUGGAGGGAGCUGGCAUGGAGACAUUUGCUCACAUCAGUACUAUGAGCAGCCUGGUUGGGUGGUGACGUUUCCGAGUGGCCAAGCAAGAGCUUUUUUUGGUCUAGACCUAUGCAGUGGUGACUUCUGCUACAAUGUGCAUCAACACCAGAACCAUGUUCCCGAUCAUGGACGCUGUUGUGUCCCUCACCGGCUCUCUCCUUGCCAUCACCGAGAGGGUUGUGCAGGCCACUACUCGCGCAACUACUUUGCAGUGUGGAGCAUGCCAUCGAGAUAGACCGAAAGAAGAACAUCGCCGACAACAACACCAACGGGGGCCUCCUUGGUUGCCACCACCGCCGCUGCCGUCGUCGCCCUCCCUGCCGCCCCACACCACACUGCCAGAUAGGUCUGUGUGCUUUUCCCUUGCCCCCUGCUUAUUGCACUCAGGAUGUGUUGGUGCCAUGCUUUGCCUAUAUGUAAUCUCCUAUUCUGUUGUAAAAUUCUUUUUGCUUAUGAUUUCUUAUUGUAGUGUGAAAUUUUAAUUGCUUGGGUUGUUACUGCUAUGAAAAUAUAUUGCUAUAUUUAGGUUUGUUACUUUAGUCUCUCUUCCUCCCUUGUUUUAUACUGGUAUGAAAUUGUAUUUUGCUGCAAGAUCAAAGAGAUUCUUUUUGAACACAA